rnacentral:rRNA from 1 species
UGGACAGAAAGACCCUAUGAAGCUUUACUGUAACUUGAAAUUGAAAUUGGACUUUAUUCGCGCAGUAUAGGUGGGAGGCGUUGAUUAUAAUCUUGCGGGAUUAUUGGAGCCAUCAGUGAGAUACCACCCUUGUAAUAUUAAAUUUCUAACCUUGUGCCAUUAUCUGGUCAAGGAACAGUUUUUGGUGGGCAGUUUGACUGGGGCGGUCGCCUCCCAAAAAGUAACGGAGGCGUACAAAGGUUUCCUCUGAACGGGUAGAAAUCGUAUCUAGAGUAUAAAGGCGUAAGGAAGCCUGACUGUGAGACCUACAAGUCGAGCAGGGACGAAAGUCGGUCUUAGUGAUCUGACGGUACUGAGUGGAAAGGCCGUCACUCAACGGAUAAAAGUUACUCUAGGGAUAACAGGCU